CAAUAGCGUAUAUUAAAGUUGUUGCGGUUAAAAAGCUCGUAGUUGGAUUUCUGCUGAGGACGACCGGUCCGCCCUCUGGGUGAGUAUCUGGUUCGGCCUGGGCAUCUUCUUGGAGAACGUAGCCGCACUUGACUGUGUGGUGCGGUAUCCAGGACUUUUACUUUGAGGAAAUUAGAGUGUUUCAGGCAGGCGUAGCCGGAAUACAUUAGCAUGGAAUAAUGGAAUAGGACUUAGUCUCUUUGUUGGUUCGAGGGACUGGAGUAAUGAUUAAUAGGGAUAGUUGGGGGCAUUAGUAUUUAUUAGCUAGAGGUGGAAUUCUCUAAUUUGAUAAAGACUAACUUAUGCGAAAGCAUUUGCCAAGGAUGUUUUUCAUUAAUCAAGAACGAAAAGUUAGGGGAUCAAAGACGAUUAGAUACCA
rnacentral:rRNA from 1 species